CACGUAGUUAGCCGGGGCUUCUUCUUCAGGUACCGUCAUUUUCUUCCCUGCUGACAGGGCUUUACGCGCCGAGGCGCUUCUUCACCCACGCGGCGUCGCUGCAUCAGGGUUUCCCCCAUUGUGCAAUAUCCCCCACUGCUGCCUCCCGUAGGAGUCUGGGCCGUGUCUCAGUCCCAGUGUGGCCGUCCGCCCUCUCAGGCCGGCUACUGAUCGUCGCUUUGGUAGGCCGUUACCCUGCCAACUGGCUAAUCAGACGCGGGCCCAUCCUGUACCACCGGAGUUUUCAGGAAAAAGCCAUGCGGCUUCCCCCGUUAUGCGGUAUUAGCACCUAUUUCUAAGUGUUAUCCCCCUGUACAGGCCAGGUUGCCCACGCGUUACUCACCCGUCCGCCACUCAUGCACAGAUCUUCCGACCGUAAUCUUCCCUUCUGUACACCCGUUCGACUUGCAUGUGUUAGGCACGCCGCCAGCGUUCAUCCUGAGCCAGGAUCAAACUCU
rnacentral:rRNA from 1 species